rnacentral:rRNA from 1 species
AUUGGAUCCAGACUUUGAUUAUGGCUCAGGAUGAACGCUAGCUACAGGCUUAACACAUGCAAGUCGAGGGGAAACGACAUCGAAAGCUUGCUUUUGAUGGGCGUCGACCGGCGCACGGGUGAGUAACGCGUAUCCAACCUGCCCACCACUUGGGGAUAACCUUGCGAAAGUAAGACUAAUACCCAAUGACGUCUCUAGAAGACAUCUGAAAGAGAUUAAAGAUUUAUCGGUGAUGGAUGGGGAUGCGUCUGAUUAGCUUGUUGGCGGGGUAACGGCCCACCAAGGCAACGAUCAGUAGGGGUUCUGAGAGGAAGGUCCCCCACAUUGGAACUGAGACACGGUCCAAACUCCUACGGGAGGCAGCGGUGAGGAAUAUUGGUCAAUGGACGAGAGUCUGAACCAGCCAAGUAGCGUGCAGGAUGACGGCCCUAUGGGUUGUAAACUGCUUUUAUAAGGGAAUAAAGUGAGUCUCGUGAGACUUUUUGCAUGUACCUUAUGAAUAAGGACCGGCUAAUUCCGUGCCAGCAGCCGCGGUAAUACGGAAGGUCCGGGCGUUAUCCGGAUUUAUUGGGUUUAAAGGGAGCGUAGGCCGGAGAUUAAGCGUGUUGUGAAAUGUAGAUGCUCAACAUCUGCACUGCAGCGCGAACUGGUUUCCUUGAGUACGCACAAAGUGGGCGGAAUUCGUGGUGUAGCGGUGAAAUGCUUAGAUAUCACGAAGAACUCCGAUUGCGAAGGCAGCUCACUGGAGCGCAACUGAUGCUGAAGCUCGAAAGUGCGGGUAUCGAACAGGAUUAGAUACCCUGGUAGUCCGCACGGUAAACGAUGGAUGCCCGCUGUUGGUCUGAAUAGGUCAGCGGCCAAGCGAAAGCAUUAAGCAUCCCACCUGGGGAGUACGCCGGCAACGGUGCAACUCAAAGGAAUUGACGGA